rnacentral:sRNA from 1 species
GGGUACGGUGGCGCAUGCCUGUAAUCCCAGUGUCUAGGGAGGCUGAGGCAGGAGAAUUGCAAGUUCAAGGCCAGUCUCAGCAACUUGGCAAGGCCUUUAGCAACUUAGUGAGACCCUACCUCAA